GCAGGUGGGCAAUGGGGUGGGGGUGGCAGGAACUGGCAUGGCGUCCCCACCUCAGUGGUGCCUAGGGCACGUGCCCUGCCUGCCCCCCCCCCAGUUCUGCCUAUCCCAAUUUGUGAACCUCCAUCCAUUCAGAUCAAAUUUUGCAAUGAUGUUCUUUCUUGACUUUUGUUUUGUUCUAGUAGGCUUCUGUUCUUUUUAGCUAAUUACCAUAGUCCUGCCUAGGAGCAUGUGAGGAGGAUAACCCAGAGAGAUGUCCUUGACUCUAGCAGCCAGAAGAAGCCUUCACGAAACGGGGCCUCAGUGCCAAAUGGAAGGCAGAGGAAUUUCCUAGAGAAGACACUUCAGCAUGCAAUUAGGGGGAAAACACGUGGGGAGCAGGGAGGGCAGGACAGGGAUGAGUCCCCCGCUGGUGCUUUGAUACUUGGAGCUGCAUCCCUGAGACACAGAAUGGAUUCAAACCAGAGCCAGCGUGGCCAGUAACUGAUCUGGUGACCUCACAGUCAGCCACAGAAUUCUGCAAUCAUGUUUCCCCUUGGAGACCAGCAAGGAUUCUUCCAGAGGCUCACUUGGCAACCAUCUAGAGAAGCGGUAGCAACUUGUACAAGUUAGCUGUCUUGGGCAAUCAGAUUGAUCCCCAACUUCUCCUCGUAGCUCAGUCGGUUGUCAAGAUGGGUGGCUGUUGUUCCUGGGCCAUCUGCAGGUCCUUUUGUACUUCCCAGCACUCUGGGUGAAAAACCAACAGGGGCAAUCUCAGAUCCCGUACCCUUCCCUGGGCAUUGCAUCCCCUCAAACACUCCAUGUCAAGAACCAGAGGAGGAAGACUCAGUGCCAGCCCUCCGCCCAGAGCCUUCCACCCCCUUGGACAACCCAGGACUAAAACCAGAGGAGGCAAAGUCAGUGCCAGAACAGCACUCGGGACUUUGUUAUCACCUCUGACCUUCUUGGAGAAGAAAGAAAGGAGGACACCUCAAUGGCAGAACCCUUCCCAGGGCCUCCCAUCAAAUCCAACACAGCGGGAGAAGUAGCAGAGGAGGAACCAUCAGGGCCAACCCUCCAUGAAGGACCUUCCAUCUGUUCGGACCUUCCAUCUGCUCGGACUUUCCAGCAAGACCAAAGGAGGAACCAUCAGUGGAAUGACUCCAUGAAGAACCUUCCAUCCACGCCGGCACUCGCGCAAAGGCCCAAAGGAGGAGGAAGCCUCACUCCCAGGACCCCCACCCAGGGCCCUCCAUUCCAUCAGAUGCUCCAGGAGGAGAAUUAGAAGAGGCAAGUUCUCAGCCAGGACUGUGCCAAGGGGCUUCCGUCCCCUCACCACUCUGGUGGAAGAGCCAGAAGAGGAAACCUCAGAGCGUUCCUUUUCUGCCAAGGAUCUUCAUCCAGAGCUGGGAAUUCUGAGUAGGUUGCAGAUCAAGUAUGUAGAACAGUAACUGAAGCUUCACUGCAUUGCCCAACCCUCCUUUCUCUUUGUCUGGGGCCUCGACCACCGAGGCCCUAACACGCGGACAAGAUUCUACAAGAGUAGAAGCCAGCUCCCGAGGAGGGAAAGGGAAGGUACAUUCACAGCACAAAUUGCUGCUGGGCUAGAAAUGGCUCUUUAGCUCCUGAUUCCUCCUCCUGAAUCUUGAAAUGUUUGAAUGACUAGGAGGGGAGGCCUGUGAGUGGAUUGUCAGUGCUUGCCGAAGUGUUUCUUCAUAUUUAGUCUUUCAGGUGACCAAGUUGUGACGGUCACAAUGAAAGCAGCUUCUUCUGGUGAGUACUGAAGGUAAGUGAUGGUGGGUGCAGUAGGAUGCCUGCCUUUGUAGCUGACCUUCUGCUUCUUCUCCACUCUUAAAGAUGUCCCUGCCAGACCUGCCGCAUGUUUCCAGCCCCAGGAUCCAGUUCCUUGCCCUCUUCUGCCUCCCUGGUGGUUGCCUCCAUCCCACCCUCCACCUCCAGCUCCCGGAUCCCUCUUCCCCUCCUCCUCUAGAGCCAGAUAGCAGCAAUCUCAAAGAAACUUUGCACAGUUGAAUGGAGUUACAGGUCCAUCAGCUACAUGACUGUCAGCCUCACAAAGUCAGUAUUGCAUUACCCCGACCUUUUACAUUCUCAUUUGACAAUCUAAAAAACGUACAGUAUCAAAACAGAGGCAGGGAAGUAAUAGAAGGAGCAGGAAGCUAAGGCACUGGGCAAGUGUGUGUGUGUGUGUGGGGGGGUGUGUCUGUAUUUCUGCUGCCCUACACCUCCUUAGGAUCAGGGAAACCCACGCUGGGCUUCCCAUUCAGCCAUGAACCUCGCUGAGGGACUUUGGGCCACUCAGUUGUCCCACAGCCUUACCUACCUCUUAGGGUUGUUGUGAGGAUAAAAUGACCAGGUAUAUCUCCCUGAGCUGCUUGGAGGAAGAGCAGACUACGAAUGUGAAAAAGCAGAACAAGAUCAGCCCUUUUGAGUUCAAGCUGGGAUGAAACAGGAAGGAGGAUCGACAUACAAUUGCGCUAAUAGCGAUCCUCCUUAUAGGGUCAUCAAUGCACAGGAGCAAAAGUUCCCUGCCCCUAAGAGCUUAGAUUCUGGCUUUGGAGAGAGGAGUGAGAAGGAGGAGGAAUGGGAGAGGAAAGCAUAAAGAGCCUUCAGUUCCAGCAGAUGGAGCUACCUCUGCUGAGGCAUUAAGCCAAAAGAUGUGCAGAGGAGGUGAGUUUUCAGGUGGCAUUGUGAGGACAGGAGCCAGAAGUGGGCAUACCUCUGGGUGGCUGUUCCAGACCCAAGAGUUAUCGAGAGAGAAGGGAAAUAGUCAUCUCAGAGAGCAAGAGACCUUCAGGAGGCUGAAGGCAGUUGGCGGAGCAAAGACCACCCUGAUGGCAUGCAAGUUGGGAGGGAGGGGUCAGUGCAGAGCAAGAGGGUGGGAAAUAUCCAUGGAGGGUUUUCCAGGUCGGGAUGAGGAGUCUGUGCUGGGCAUGGAAGGGGGCAAGAAGUCAGUGCAGGGACUAGUAAUAUGGGGGGAGGGACCCUCACCCUGUUGCUUUUCUUUUGUUCCAGGCCAAAGAGACUGUCCAGAGCUGCCGAAAAUGCCUGCAGAACGUCAAGGCUUGACGUCAUGGGCCUCCUGGAAAUGGCCUUUUUUCAGAUAUUGUAUGUGCAGUCCAAAAAAAAAUUUAAAUCCAGUUUUUAUUGGGUCAGGGUUAGGGUGAUAUUCUAUUAAUUUUAUUGGUUUUAUCUGCUUUCCUGUUUUGUGUGUAUGCUUAUACUGUUUUUAUCUUUUCAUCUGUUGUAUUGUUCUGCUAUGAUUGCCCUCAGCAGUAUUGCAUUGGAGGGCCAGGAUAUAAAUAUUGCCAAUAAAAUAUAUUUAAAGAGCCA